rnacentral:lncRNA from 1 species
AAGAAAAUGAGAAGGAAGUUGCUUCAAGAUAAGGCCAGAGAGAUCUAGAAGAAAGGAUCUGAGUGACAGGCUUAGGUGCGUUGUCUGCGUCCCAGGAACAGAGCAAAGCACACUGGCUCAGGCAUGAGGAAGCCACACCCCAAUCCUGCCUUUCAGGUGCCAAUGGAGAACAACCCCUUCAGCGGAACCAUGGUGCUUUACAUCUCUCUCUGAACUCUCAGAUCUCCUAAGUGGAGAUGGCUGAUUAAGGCUCUUAUCUUUCACGUUCUAAAAUCAAUUUAGUGUUGUUCGGAGCCAGCA